rnacentral:rRNA from 1 species
AGUGAACGCUGGCGGUAGGCCUAACACAUGCAAGUCGAACGGCAGCACAGUAAGAGCUUGCUCUUACGGGUGGCGAGUGGCGGACGGGUGAGGAAUACAUCGGAAUCUACUUUUUCGUGGGGGCUAACGUAGGGAAACUUACGCUACUACCGCAUACGACCUACGGGUGAAAGCAGGGGAUCUUCGGACCUUGCGCGAUUGAAUGAGGCGAUGUCGGAUUAGCUAGUUGGCGGGGUAAAGGCCCACCAAGGCGACGGUCCGUAGCUGGUCUGAGAGGAUGAUCAGCCACACUGGAACUGAGACACGGUCCAGACUCCUACGGGAGGCAGCAGUGGGGAAUAUUGGACAAUGGGCGCAAGCCUGAUCCAGCCAUACCGCGUGGGUGAAGAAGGCCUUCGGGUUGUAAAGCCCUUUUGUUGGGAAAGAAAAGCAGCAGGUUAAUACCCCGCUGUUCUGACGGUACCCAAAGAAUAAGCACCGGCUAACUUCGUG